rnacentral:rRNA from 1 species
GAUGAACGCUGGCGGCGUGCCUAAUACAUGCAAGUCGAGCGAACAGACGAGGAGCUUGUUCCUCUGACGUUAGCGGCGGACGGGUGAGUAACGCGUGGGUAACCUACCUAUAAGAGGGGGAUAACUUCGGGAAACGGGUGCUAAUACCGGAUAAUAUAUUGAACCACAUGGUUCAAUAGUGAAAGAUGGUUUUGCUUUAAUCUAUAGUGGUAUCCGCGCGGAAUUAGCUAGUUGGUAAGGAAACGCCUUACCAAGGCAACGAUCAGUAGCCGACCUGGGAGGGUGAUCGGCCACACUGGAACUGAAACACGGUCAAGACUCCUACGGAGGGAGCAAGUAGGGAAUCUUCGGCAAUGGGCGAAGGCCUGACGGAGCACCGCCGCGUGAGUAAUGAAGGUCUUCGGAUGGUAAAACUCUGUUAUUAGGGAAGAACAAGUGUGUAAGUAACUAUGCACGUCGUGACGGUAACUAAUCAGAAAGCGACGGCUAACUACGUG